GCUGGCGGCAUGCCUAACACAUGCAAGUCGAACGGUAACGCGGAGAGCUUGCUCUCUGGCGACGAGUGGCGGACGGGUGAGUAAUACUUAGGAAUCUGCCCAGUAGUGGGGGACAACAUUCGGAAACGGAUGCUAAUACCGCAUACGCCCUACGGGGGAAAGCGGGGGAUCUUCGGACCUCGCGCUAUUGGAUGAGCCUAAGUCGGAUUAUUCUUGUUGGUGAGGUAAUAGCUCACCAAGGCGACGAUCCGUAGCUGGUCUGAGAGGACGAUCAGCCACACUGGGACUGAGACACGGCCCAGACUCCUACGGGAGGCAGCAGUGGGGAAUAUUGGACAAUGGGCGCAAGCCUGAUCCAGCAAUGCCGCGUGUGUGAAGAAGGCCUGCGGGUUGUAAAGCACUUUCAGUAGAGAAGAAAAGCUUACGGUUAAUAACCGUGAGUCUUGACGUAACCUACAGAAGAAGCACCGGCUAACUCCGUGCCAGCAGCCGCGGUAAUACGGAGGGUGCGAGCGUUAAUCGGAAUUACUGGGCGUAAAGCGCGCGUAGGCGGCUCUGUAAGUCGGAUGUGAAAGCCCUGGGCUUAACCUGGGAAUUGCAUUCGAUACUGCAGAGCUAGAGUAUGGUAGA
rnacentral:rRNA from 1 species